ensembl:snRNA U6 U6 spliceosomal RNA
GUGCUCACUUCAGCAGCACAUAUACCAAAACUGGAACAAUACAGAGCAGAUUAGCAUGGCCCCCGUGCAAAGACGGCAUGAAAAUUUGUAAAGUGUUCCAUAUUUUU